UAGAAAAUAAAAAAGGGAGGGAGGGAUGUGGGUGUCGACGUGCGUUGCGGAGCUCUGGGAUGCGGAGGCAAAAGACCCGCCUCUCGGUCGCCGCCCCUCUCGCCUUCUCCAACUGGAGGAGGAGGAGGAGGAGGAGGAGGAAGGCAAAAGGAGAGGGGGAGGGACGAAUCUCUCUGCUCCGGCGACCGCUCUUUGAAACAACAACAACAACAAAAAAAGGCGACCGACCAAGCGACGCGCUGGCUUUGCAUGUUUUCAAAAGUCGCCUUCGGCCCACUCGGACCUUCCCCUCCUCCUUUUGCUCUUCUCCUCCGCACACACACACCCCGCGUACUGUCUUUUUAGCUAAGGGAGAGGUGGGGCGGUGGUGGUGGAAAGAACCAGGUCAGAAACGCUCGUUUGAAUCAGCAGACCCGUUGCAGCAGCAGCAGCAGCAGCCGCCUCCACCGCCGCGAUCGCCGCCUCGCUCACUUCCUUCCAAUGGCCCAAUGGCGUGGGAGAGGCGGAACUAGACCGAGCAAUAGCGGUCCGCGCGCGCCAAACAAAAGUGUCAGCGAUUGCCGCUUUGACGAUCGGCUUGUUUUGUUUGUUUUUUUAAUCCGCAAGCGCUCGUUUCCGCAUUUCGGGAUUCUUGACCCCGAGCCGGGGUUCUGCCCGAUAUCUCGGGAAAGCAGCAAAACGAAGGUCUCCUUUUAAGGGUUUGUUAUCCGAUUUGGAUAAACGACCAUCCCUUUAUGAUCUCCUCCACCUCCCCCCACCCCUCUUCCCAGAAGGAACAAGAGAAAGCAAAAGGUCGGUCUUUCAAAAGAAAACUUGAAGGGUGGGGAAAUGUGAUGCAAGAGACGGCUGCGUGCUCGGUUUGACAGUGGCUGGGGAAUCUUUGGAGACCUUCGGAUUGAAGAUCGGCCCAGUCAGCUGAGGUGUGUGUGUGUUUGUUUAUUUUGCCUCCCGCUGGACGCCUGCUUUCCUUGCCUCCUUUAAGGGCGCUGCUGCGAUGUGACGAGGUAAGUCUCCAUUAAUCAUCGCGCAAAAAGGAUCUCCAGGCCUCGUCCGUUAUUGCAGAGGGAAGAAAACGCUGGUUCUUAGCCUGGAAUGAAACUAAGGAGCGGAUCGUUCCGAUUGAUCUUUAAAUCUUCUCCCUUAACUGCGGCGAUUUUGGGCAAACUGCAAAAUUUGCAAACGGAGAGAAUGAAAGACAAAGCGUGUAUACUUUCUGGUUUACUGACAUUUCCGUAUCCGCGUUUACAGUAGAAGAGGGUGAAUCUCGAGCACACGCGAAGGUGGCCGAUCUCUUCUGAACGUUUUGCUUUCAGUUAGAAGCGAGAGCUUUUCUGGUUUUCGGAUUUAUUUUACCCGGCUUGAGUGUGCUCUUCGGAGGUGUCCCUACUUAGGUAGGGCCAAUAAACUGUGAAAUGAUCUCAUCGUGUAUUAAACUAUCUUUUUACUGGAGGGCGGAGUCCUUUAUGUGACUCAGUAAAACAAUAACAAAACUGUUUCACUAAUAAUUACCCCUCAACAAACCACACAUUGACUGAUUUCAGCGAAAACACAUUAUUUCUAGACUAGAGUAAUGACAGAGAGUAUGAGUUUCUCAGUGAUAAUCCAGAUGAUUACAGCAUCACUUCACCUCUCCUUUAAAAAUAAAUAUAUACCCUUUCUAUGAGGAACGUAGGUUACAGCUUACUGUCAAAAAUAUUUUUUCUCUAUUUUCCAGGUCACAAUAUUCCCAAACCCUUCUUCCCAUUUUAUCUUCAGAAAUUCUCCCUCUUUUGAGCCUAGUAUCUUGCCUUCAUUUGUCUGCAUAUUAAAGUUACAUUUUAAUGGUUUUAAAGUUCUUCCUGCUCCCAAAAUUUUGUUUUUGUUCAUUAUUGGUGUAUUUCCAUCACAUUCCUUUUUCUUUGUCAGAAAUAAAAAAUAUAUUUCCAGGGAAGAGGGGGAAUCCUGUACCAUGUUGAAGUAUUGGUACUACAUGUGAAGUUAAGCUUUAGAAAAUGCCGAAAAUGCUGGUAUACUACUUGUGAGCCUUUCUAGAGUAAGUCAAUGAAAAUAAUAAGCUGUUGUAUCACCCCAAGACUCAACAAUGCCAUUUAGAUGAGUUUGCCUUUGAAGACAACUCAGAAACUCCAGCCGUAGCCAUAUUGGUGUAACAUGGUAACCAGGCUGUUAGCUAGGGCAAUUGGCUACUGAAGAAUUAUAUAUAUAUUCUUACAUUAUUGCAGUAGUUAUCAAUUGUUUUUUGUCCUGUCAAAUUGCUGCCCCCCCAUAAAAGCUUAUAUGGCGCAGCAUUAGCUAUAUGAGAGAUGGAGUGUUUUACUAAACUUAAUUCCAUCCGUAUAAUCUGGUUAUCUGGGAAAGGCUAUCUGAAAAUCCGCUCCUGUAUGGAUAUUUAUAUUCUUGAAAAUCCUCUCUCUGGAAUAGUUAAAUAUUCCUCUCUUUGGAAUAAUUAACUACUAGAACAAUGGCUGGGCUCAUGUCUCCUUACAUUUUGAAAUAUUGUUUUAUUUUUACUAACCUUCAGCUCCCUAGCAUGUUUGUCUAUGACUGUGUGUUCUGAUUUUUAUCUUAAAUUAUUGGGGGGGGAUCUGUUUUUUUUUUUGCUGUGCACCUCUCAGGAUGGUUAUAAAACCUAUAACUAAAUCAGUAAAGAAGCUAGCCUUGUUCUCAAAAUAUUUAAAAGUGUGUGGGUGCAAGAGAGAGCCUGUACAUGCUCCAAAUGUGAAUCUUUUAUUACAUUCAUUCAGGACAAGUUUCUGAGGAUUUUUGUUGAUUGAAACUGGCCUAAAACUUCUUUAAUUCAAAUGUAUGGGGGGAGGGAGGGUCUGUGAGGAAGAGAAAAACCAAACAUGAGACUUGGCAUGGAGUUUUUGAGCUUCAUACAAGGAAGUGAUGACAUUGCAUAAAGACAUUACAGUCUUUCAUUCAGCCAUUUUAGUGCUAAUGUGAGUGUAGGCCUCAGCCUGGCUCUCUUUGUACAAUACUGUGUUUUGCCUGAUUCAAGUUACUCCUACUUUUGUUUUAAUUUGUCCUUACCUAAUUACUUUGCUUUUACAACAAAAAAAAACAUACAACAGAUAGAUAGGUCAUAUACACAUGGUGUGUGCAUUAAUUUUGUUAUAAUGAAAGGCAAAAUUCUCUUCUCAUUUCUUCUAAUUAUACCUGGCAGCAAAUUAGGUUACUCAAAAUAUUCAUUCUCUUAUCAUUCCUUAGGUAAUACUGGGAAGAUUACACAAAGCUGAAAUAAUAUUUACCUUGUUUCGCUUGCCUCCAGCAUUGUUUAAAAAAAAAUCUAACUUUGGGAACUGCCUAUAUGUAAACAGUAUAGUAAGUGUGGCGUGGGCAUGUUUUGAAUGUUAUUCAAAGCAGGUGCUUGACAUAACUAACAUGUGAGAGCACAUUUAAAAAAGAAACUUCUUUUUAAAAAGUCUUCUGUGUGUAAGCCUGGGAAAAAAAAUAGAACGGCUUAUGCAGAAACUGGGAAUUUUACUUCUUUAAAAAGAUGUAAAAUUCAUGCACCUGUAAUUGCUGGGUGGGGUGGCUCUUCUGAAUUAUUUCCAGAUUAUGUCUCGAGUAUACAUUAAUUCAAAGUAAAAAAUGUCAGAAUAAGUCUCAAAUGGAUCUUGAGUAUAUUCUUAUUAUUUGUAUUGAUCUUCUGGGGUUUAGCUUAUUCGUGAAAUGUUGGUGCUUGCUAUCAGAAAGGCAAGACUACGUGGCAUUUUUUGUAUUUAUUUGGAUGUAAUUUUUUUUUCUGUAAGAGAAAGAACCAACUUCUAAGGGAUAUAUAAUAUACAUUGUAAUAACAGAUAAUUAUUGUAAUAAUGUAUAGUUGUAAGAAUAUAUAAUUGUAAACUGGUAUUUGUAAUUAUAAAUAUAUAGUUAGCUGUAACAAAUAUUUCUAGCUAGACUAGAACUUCUAAAAUUUAGAGACAUUUGUCACCUAAAUAUGUAUCACUUUCAGUUUUGUGCAUUAAAAAUUCAUGAUAUUUGAGAGAAUAACAUUUUAACUCUUUGAGUAGCUUGAAACUAACUUUAUUGUGCUUUCUCCUAGAAAUGUUCCUUUUAUUUGCUCAGAACUUCUGAUAGACAAGAAGGCUGAAGUAUUAUUUUUGUAUUAUUCCUAAUAGUAAACACAUUGUUCUUAUUUUUAAUGUAACCAUUUAUUCCUAACAUUUAUUUAAACUUUUUCCUGAGAUAGGAUCAGAAAAAAGAAUUUAUUACCUCUCAUUUCCCAAGAAUUUACUGAUGCUUAAAUUUUUAUGGUAAUAAAAUGGAAGUAGAAAAUAUAAUAGUUCAGAGAGUUGUCUGAGAAAAUGUAAUGUAUUGUUUCUAUAGAUUUUCUAUUUGAAAGUGGAAUGGCUGAAAUAUUGGGAUUUUGCAGGGCUAGUGGGAGAUGGCUGUAAAAUGAUGGUUACCAUUGUUUUUUCAAUCUUUUUAAUAUAUCACUUUCUAUGCUUACAGUUGUACACUUAAGGGAUUGAAAUAGCAUCAUGAUAGAAAAAUGUAACAUACUUGCAGGUUGUUGUAGAUUCGGUACAGUAUAUCCAGUUAAUUUAAUAUUAUCAUUGAAGGGUAAAUAUAUAUUAAAAAAUUAUAAUGCUAUCAGAAUCUUCUCUGAUAAAGGACAAAAAAGAUAAGCAAAGUAUAGGUUUUCUCCUAAUGGCAUUUUAAUAUACUUUGGUUUUAUUCAGUCUUUCCUAAUUUAUUGUCUUCCAGAUGUGUUUGGGAACAUGGUACUUGCUCUCCAGCCAGAAAGAUCACGGGCCAUCAUAAAUAGGAAUUUUGGAAAAUGUUGUCCCAUCACAUAUGUAGAAUUAACAAUUAUAAAAAAAUAUUUUAGUUGUAAAGAUUCUAUUGUGUUGAAACCUUUUAUAUUUAUCAUAUUAAAAUUAUCUUCUUUUAAUCUCCCUUAAAUACUGAAAUUUAGAUAAUUUUGUAGCCAGAGUGACUUCUAAGGAUAUGCAAAACAUUUUGUAUUUGAACCAUUUAAAAGCUGAAACCCCCCUGUUUCCUGUGGGAAUAUUUUUAAAAUAUUAUUUUGGAAGUUAUGUUUAAAGCAGUUCUGUUUUGACUAAAAUAGAAAAAGAUGAUUGAAAUAGCUGUUUUCCCUUUGAAGUAGUGGGGUUCUGACUUUGUACAAAUCUGAAAUACCAGUAUUUUGUACAUCUGUUUGUUCUCUGUAUUUUCUACUAAUUUUUUUUACCUGGUUUUAACUACUGUACAUACUACAGCAUGGAUGUUACUCAGUUAUUUUUUUAGCCAUCCUGGGUUCUUUUUAAGAGAAAAAGCAGUGUAAAUAUUCCAAACAAACAAAGCAAACAAACAUGAAAAUACUUUGACAUAUGAAAAUUAUUUAUUUUAUUCCUUCCAUAAUUCUGUGAGGUUGGCUAACGUAGCAGAAACUGGUUGAACUUCAAGAGUGUGCAGGAAUAUGAAUUCAUUUUAAGUGGGGCAUUUUAAUUGAUAUAAUGCAUCUAUUCUCAAACGACACACAGUUGGUUAGUUAUAACUAAGCCAUAAGGUUUGCUUGUUAUUGUUGUUGUUUUAAACUGGCUCGGCAUAUCUAGUGGGUUCUAAAAUAACAUUAAUUUGAGCUAGACAGAUUUGGGGUUUGAGUGCCAUUAUGUUUAAGGGAUUACAAUAAUUCUUUUUCUCUCUUUCAGCCUCCAUACUUAAUUAAUAUAUUUUCACAAGGUCCACCGGUCCAAGGUUCAUUAUUAUAACCCAUUUUGAAGGUAACAACAAAGAUCUCCAACCUCACCAUUCAGGAGAAAUAAAACUCUUAGCUCUGUCCAUUGUGACAUUCUUUCUCUAACUUCAAAAUUGCUGCAUCACCCUGCCCAAGAAAAAUUAUGCAUCCGGUUUUAACUGGUAAUGAAGAUUACAAACACAUUCUCUACAGUAAAAGGAAAUGGAGUGCUAAUGAGUUUUGCAUGAAAUUGAAAAGAUACAGACAAAUUACAUCUUUCCCAUAUUUAACACUGUACUCUGAGGUCGAUCAGUGUGAUUUUAUUCUGACUAUCACUUUUAUUAGAGGCCAGGUCAUCUUCAAUAAUAGCGAUUGUUAAUGAAAUUUACAUAGCAUGAAAUGCAACAUGCUCAAAUAAAUUUGCAAUUUUCGCUAGUGUGCGCUUUUUAGAAACACAAUUACUCUUAACAUAUCUGCAAUUUCUAGUAACUACAUCUGACUUUUAUUAAUAUCAAAAAGUUAGGUAGGAUUAGAGAUGGUUAGGAAUUUGAUAGGAGACCUGUUAGGAAAUCUCAGAGUCACAGACUAGAUUGGGAAGUCCAAAUAUGCAUCCUGGAUAAAUGCAAUAUUUCUAUAUUGUUUCAAUAAAUAUCAUGGAUAAAUUGGUAGGAGUUUAUCCAUGGCAGAGUUUGCCAAUCAUGUGGUAGGUGUAAUUAGUCCAACACACCCAAUUAACCAGGAGGCAAAUUGGUAAGCUUGUUCCUCACUCUCUUUCUUACCUUGUUUAAACGUUUUUAUUUUAUGGAUAGGUGACCCAUUCUCAAACAUCCAGGUUGUCUUGUCUGGGAUAUAUGAGGAGAAAUUAAAGAUCAGAGGGUGGUGCUUUGCUGCAUGCCAGGAUUACUUUUCAGGAACUUGUCGGAACCUGCUGAAACCCACCUCUGGUACAGUCCACAACUCCACCCUGAAGCCUAUGAGCAACUAGUCACAGGAGGCUUUUGACUUACCUGCGCAUGUUUGUGAGUGCGCCCGCGGAUAAGCAGCUUUUUGGAUGAGAAGCGAAACGUCUUCAAAAAGGAAAAAACAAGAAAGUCCAGUUGCCGCCUGAAAAAGCACCUUUGGGACAACCAUGACCUGGAUGACUGAAUAUCACCCUGAUAGCAAAGGUUUAAGCCUCUUAAUAUCUGCUCUCCUUAAUAUCACAAGAAAUACAAUAUAUUCAAGAAGCUGACCCUUCCAAGACAAUAGAAAACUCAGGAGACCUCUGUCUGGAAUUUAUAAUGAAAAACUGGAAAGCAAAAGGUACUUUGUAACUUCACUGUUUUUUCCAAUUAUUUAUUAUUCCCAAAUAUUUAUCAUUACUUAUUCAGAAAUUAAAAUUCUUGUUUCCUAAUCUGGAACAAUUAUAAUUGUAAUUAUAACUGUUUGUGUUGAAUUUCUAUUCCUUUUCUUUCUAAAUCUAUCAACUUUUGCACUCAUAAACUACUUUUUAAAAAAUCUUUUUAUCAGCAGUAUUUCUUAUAGAAAAGUUCCUGCCUGGGUAUUUUCAACCCUCUUUCUACUUCUUACUGACAUCUUCUAUCUUUUUAUUUCUCUUUUUAUUUCAAUGCUGACUUUUAAGGACAAUAUACCAAAUCAUGUGCUCUGGCAGAUGGGGAUUCUCUUUUUCAUCUAAUGAUCAGAUUAGUUUCUGAGUUGUGAAUUUUGAUAUGCAUAUAUCAGAAUAUGCAUAUAUUUUGAUAUGCAUAUAUAUCUUAUUAAAGACAUCCUACUAUCUAUAUAUCUAUAUCUAUCUGAGUCGGGAGUUGUUACAAAGGGAUGCCUUUUUCUGUCUCAACAAGUUAUUGCAAAUUAAUAAGUUUUUGUUGCUAAGGAAAAUAGAGAAAUGACAAUCUGCAGCAAUUGUCUGAUAGGAAUGUGAAAGUAUUCAGACUUUGUCCAAUUAAAACUUCUCUUGUGGAGUAGCUACCCAAGCAAUACCAAGGGGGAAUUUUACGUGGUUUAAACUUUAAAGCCAUAUAUGACUGCAGCUUGCUAGGAACAAAGAACUCCCUAGAACAGCCACGAUUGAGAUAACUAUCAGCCUUUCUAAAGAAGUACAGUUCAUUCAGAAAGUAUUCAGACCCCCUUCACUUUUGUCAAUUUUGUUAUUCUGCAGCCUGAUUCUACAGUUGUUGAAAUCCAUUUUUUUCCUCAUUAAUCUACAUCCAGUACCCCAUAAUAAUAACGAAGUGAAAACAGACUUUUAGAAAUGUCUGUAAAUUUAUUAAAAAGAAAAAAAACCUGAGAUAUCACAUUGGCAUAAGUAUUCAGACCCUUUGCAACAACACAUGAAUUUUAGCUCUGGCGCCUCCCAUUUCUCUUGAUUAUUGCUCAUAUGUUUCUAUACCUUGAAUGGAGUCGACCUCACAUAUUGUGAGUACUUAUGCCAAUGUGAUAUUUCAGGUUUUUUUCCUUUUAAUACACUUAUAGACAUUUCUAAAAUUCUGUUUUCACUUUGACAUUAUAAGGUACUGAAUGUAGAUUAAUGAGAAAAAAAUGAAUAUCAGCAACUGUAGAAUGAGGCUGCAGCAUAACAAAAUCGACAAAAGCUUAGCACAUUUAUUACUGCUUUACCUGUCUGUAUAAGAUUUCUAGCAAUCAGGCUAUUUAGAGGCUAGAUAGCAGAGUCUGGUUCUUUUGAAGUACUCUAACGAUACCCUCAGAGGAAUAAAGGACUGUUAGAUGUUAUGAGAUGGCAGUUAGUAGCACCAGUGUCAGAGUUUUCAAUAAGCUUAUCAAGUUUAGAUUGGAUGUUGUUUAGGGAAACAAAAAUUGCCACAAUGUGGUGGAACCUGUAAGUAGACAAAGCUCUCCCAAAACCUUUGGGAUGGUCUCUGGGGAGUGAUUAUCUUUCCUAAACCUCAUUUGGUGAGGAAGUAGUCUUCUUUUCUCAAGGUAGCAAGCUUGUACAUCUCUGUGAGAAUAAUGAUGUGGUAGGAAAAAUAAUUUUUUGUUGUUGUUUCCCUAACUUGUUGUUUUUCCCUACCAACAUAUUUCUUGUUCUUUGUUGCACUUUUGGAUGCUUCCUAUGCUAUUUCUCAGCCACUUCUUUCCUUUCUGAGGUAAUCUGUAAUCUGUUUUAAUUCUUGGCUUGACUCAGCUUUUGCUUCCUUUGUUGUGGAAUUCUCUGGACGCAGCUUGUACUGUGUACUGCAAUUUGCCAUUUCACUGCUCCUUGUUUUCCCCCCUUCUCUCUGCCAAAAUCUCAAAGUUGCCUGUUGAUUUUAGCUUUAAUCCAUAUUUGUGACUCUGCUAAAAAGAGAACUGAUAACCACACACCCAGGAACACCCAAUGACUGUAGAGUCAUCAUUAAAAUUGUUUCUGAUGUAGGGAUUAUCUAGCUCAGGAGUGUCCAACCUUGGCAACUUUAAGACUUAUGGAUUUCAACCCCCUGAAUUCCUAAGCCAGCCAUGCAAAGUUGGGCACUCCUCAUCUAGUUUAAGGGUCAGCAAUCAUUUUUGGAAAGGGCCAAAUGCUGUCCUUCCUCCAUAUCCACAAGUGCUGAUUAGGAUGCCAGUACUGUAGAGAACAAGCUGUUACUUGGCCGGGAAGCUUGGCUUGAGACUUGAGCCUGGCUAUCUACCACACUCCCCUCAGGGCUGAAUAUCAAAAGAGUUAGCACUGUAAGGCAAAUGAUUUAAAGCAAAGUACAGGGCUGAAGCCACACCUGGUCUUUCUGAGCAGCGCUCAAAAAGCUAAGCGGGGGUCAGACCUAGUUAAUAGUUGGAUGGAAGAUCACCAGAGAAAUCCCAAAGCUAUAGAGUAUAAUUUGGAAAAUUGAACAACAUCCCUGAAGAAAACAGUGGAAAUUAUUUUCAUAUUGUCCCUGUAGGUAUCUUGGCAACAAGACAACAGGAGGUGGCUCAAGCCAUGCCCAGAAGUCUUGGCUGUCAUGAGAAUCAGUCCAAUGCUGUUGUGCAUUAUGUGGGAGUUAAAAUUGAGAAGCUCUCAGAUCCUCCUUGAGCACAAUGGCACCGAUCAUUUCUAAUUUCCUGUACACACAGGAAAUCAGUAGCCCCUCCAUGCCUACAUGCUCAUCUGUACAGCUGAGCCUCCUCCUUCUGCUUCCUUACUUGUCAUACAGAAGCAGAGGCAUUUCUGAGGGUGGAAGAGUCCAAGGUCUGAGUCACACAUCAAACCUGAGGCAUUCUCAGUGCUGAGAAAAACACAUUUUGGACUAAGGAAUAUAGUAGUGAUAUUGGUGGUGUAGCAAUUGUAGUAAAAAUGGAAAGUUUGAAGUUGCCUAUCCAAUGUAGGUUCUUUUAUUUUGAGGAUCCCAAAUGAGAUUGGGAGUUGUUACUUGUUACUCAUAUUCUAAUUACAUAUGGUACUCUUUAGCAGAGGCAUUCUGGCAGAGAAUGGGAGAGUACUCUAAAUUUGAUGAUUAUAUCCAUCUGCUUGCCAAAGCCACAGACUUGUAGUGGGCCAGCUAAAGUCCUUACCAUUAAAAAGGGAGUGAGGACAUGUCAGAAGUAGAUUUUAAGAAGUCAGGAUGGAAGUUGUAUAACUGCAUGUCAAAGCCCUGAUUCUUUUGUGUGUGUGGAGGGGAGCAUAUGUAUGACACAUGUUCUCUUUUUUUGACCCUCCUCUGUAAGCUUUCCUGAAAGCAGGGCUUUGGGAAGCGACUUGGACUCAGCUCCAUGAAGUGCUUUGCACCAUAGAGUGGACUGCAUUCUUUUCUGCUUGUGAAAAAAUGGCAGGUCGCACUUGUUCUCAGCAAAAGCAUUUUCCUGGCCAUUCAUGCCAGAGGGCUGAAAUCUUGCCAGGCUGUCGGAUCUGUUGGAAGAAGUCUAAAGAGAAGCCAAAUGAUG